rnacentral:rRNA from 1 species
CCGAAAGGUGUACUAAUACCGCAUAAGACCACGGAAUCACAUGGUUCUGAGGUAAAAGAUUUAUCGGUUUGGGGUGGGCUCGCGUCCGAUUAGGUAGUUGGUGAGGUAACGGCCCACCAAGCCGACGAUCGGUAGCCGACCUGAGAGGGUGAUCGGCCACAUUGGGACUGAGACACGGCCCAAACUCCUACGGGAGGCAGCAGUGGGGAAUAUUGGGCAAUGGAGGGAACUCUGACCCAGCAACGCCGCGUGGAGGAAGAAGGUUUUCGGAUCGUAAACUCCUGUCCUUGGAGACGAGUAGAAGACGGUAUCCAAGGAGGAAGCCCCGGCUAACUACGUGCCAGCAGCCGCGGUAAUACGUAGGGGGCAAGCGUUGUCCGGAAUAAUUGGGCGUAAAGGGCGCGUAGGCGGCUCGGUAAGUCUGGAGUGAAAGUCCUGCUUUUAAGGUGGGAAUUGCUUUGGAUACUGUCGGGCUUGAGUGCAGGAGAGGUUAGUGGAAUUCCCAGUGUAGCGGUGAAAUGCGUAGAGAUUGGGAGGAACACCAGUGGCGAAGGCGACUAACUGGACUGUAACUGACGCUGAGGCGCGAAAGUGUGGGGAGCAAACAGGAUUAGAUACCCUGGUAGUCCACACUGUAAACGAUGAAUGCUAGGUGUAGGGGGUAUCGACCCCUUCUGUGCCGCAGUCAACACAAUAAGCAUUCCGCCUGGGGAGUA